GAUGAACGCUGGCGGCGUGCCUAAUACAUGCAAGUCGAGCGAACGGACGAGAAGCUUGCUUCUCUGAUGUUAGCGGCGGACGGGUGAGUAACACGUGGAUAACCUACCUAUAAGACUGGGAUAACUUCGGGAAACCGGAGCUAAUACCGGAUAAUAUUUUGAACCGCAUGGUUCAAAAGUGAAAGACGGUCUUGCUGUCACUUAUAGAUGGAUCCGCGCUGCAUUAGCUAGUUGGUAAGGUAACGGCUUACCAAGGCAACGAUGCAUAGCCGACCUGAGAGGGUGAUCGGCCACACUGGAACUGAGACACGGUCCAGACACCUACGGGAGGCAGCAGUAGGGAAUCUUCCGCAAUGGGCGAAAGCCUGACGGAGCAACGCCGCGUGAGUGAUGAAGGUCUUCGGAUCGUAAAACUCUGUUAUUAGGGAAGAACAUAUGUGUAAGUAACUGUGCACAUCUUGACGGUACCUAAUCAGAAAGCCACGGCUAACUACGU
rnacentral:rRNA from 1 species